AAAGUAUUGUACUUCUGUUCAACUGCAUCUAUGAGCUUGUAGGUGCAAUUCUUGAUGGACAAAAUUUCCAGUCCAUUGACAAAUUAGAUAUAUUUCAGAAGCGGAUGGUGGAAGACUUUAAGCGUAGUGUUUAUAAAAAUUUGAAUUGUCUAGCUCCCCUUGAGGACCAUUCUUUGAUUGGCCAAGCAAUCCUUACAUCUAAUCUGCAGAAUGGCCUUAAUCAUAUUCCUAGUUCAAGCCAACAGAAUAUGAACUACUCAGAUGAACAAGGUCAAGUGGAGUUCCAG
rnacentral:misc_RNA from 1 species